GUUAAUGUAGCUUAAACCCAAAGCAAGGCACUGAAAAUGCCUAGAUGAGUAUUUAAUACUCCAUAAACA
rnacentral:tRNA from 7 species